GAUCCUGGUUCAGGAUGAACGCUAGCUACAGGCUUAACACAUGCAAGUCGAGGGGCAUCAGUUUGGUUUGCUUGCAAACCAAAGCUGGCGACCGGCGCACGGGUGAGUAACACGUAUCCAACCUGCCUCAUACUCGGGGAUAGCCUUUCGAAAGAAAGAUUAAUAUCCGAUAGCAUAUAUUUCCCGCAUGGGUUUUAUAUUAAAGAAAUUCGGUAUGAGAUGGGGAUGCGUUCCAUUAGUUUGUUGGGGGGGUAACGG
rnacentral:rRNA from 1 species